rnacentral:rRNA from 1 species
CAGUAGCCGCGGGAAUGCGUAGGUGGCAAGCGUUGUCCGGAAUUAUUGGGCGUAAAGGGCUCGCAGGCGGUUUCUUAAGUCUGAUGUGAAAGCCCCCGGCUCAACCGGGGAGGGUCAUUGGAAACUGGGAAACUUGAGUGCAGAAGAGGAGAGUGGAAUUCCACGUGUAGCGGUGAAAUGCGUAGAGAUGUGGAGGAACACCAGUGGCGAAGGCGACUCUCUGGUCUGUAACUGACGCUGAGGAGCGAAAGCGUGGGGAGCGAACAGGAUUAGAUACCCCUGUAGUCCCUGUCUCUUAUAC